GAAAUGAGCGCAGGCAUAUUCCAGCAGAGCACCAAAGAUGAAGGUGAAACAGAUGCCGAGAUAGACGUCGAUAGCUUUAAUGAAGCAGUUGGCAUUGGGAAGUGAGGUCCUGGCACCCAUCAUUAGUGUGGUCAUGGUGCGAGCUGGAACGGAGGACUGACUGAUCCAGAAAGACACCCAUGACAGAACCACCAGCAAUGUUGAGGGCACAUAUGUCUCCAGAAUGAAGAACAAUACAUUUCUACGUAAAGAGAAGUGCAGAACUAGCUUCGGAUAAAAACCUGCAACAGAUCCAGAAUAUUGCAGGAUACUUGGUGAGGUCCAUGUUGCAGGCAAUGGUUGCUGUUAUGCUGUGGAGAAAAAGAGGAAUAUUGAUUGAACCAUUUCAGUGGGAAGGUUCCCCAGAUGCACAUACAUCUGCCCGGAGCACCUGUUCAGCCUUUGGCGACACACAUCCUGAAUAAAUAAACAAUAAACCGGAAUCAGCGGCACUCAGGGUGACCAAAGAACUGAACUGGCCAAUCAGGAUUCAUCAGGGAAGAUGAUGAAGAAACCACUCCCACAUCCACCUUCAGUGACGAGAGGCAAGUGGGAUUUUGCAUCAGCGUAAACAAACAACCUCUUCUCUUUUUUAAUAUUCAUCCCUGGACAUGUCUAUUUUACUAACUUCCCCUGAGAGGUUUUUCUCCAUUAUCAUUUCCUUCUCUUUACUCGUAUAAUUUUUAUUGUCUGCAUUAAAGCUGAACCAUGUGCUGAAAGACUGUCAGUGUCAUAGUUCCUUUGACAGCAAGUAAUGCCAAAGGAAAAGGAAUUUGCUUAUGGAGAGAAUUAAAUGAAUAAAACAUUGGUAAAUAAAGAGGUGAGGAAAUGAGGGCUGUGGGAUUUUAGUACCAGUGCGCUGGAAGUUUGAGAUGUGAAUAGUAUGAGUGCAGCAGAGCUCUACCUUGGGCACACUAUUGAUACAUUCAUUAGUGCUGCAUAGAAGAUGCAUGCACAGUAUGCCUCAUUUAUUUCUCUCUCCAGUGAACAAUUUAAUUGACUGACACAGAGAAAAGUUUAAAUUUCAGAACAUGCACGUGAACUGCAAUUUCUCUCCUAUUAGCAAUUUGAUUUUAAUAUAGAGAGAUAUAAAUAUACACAUGCAUAGGAAGCCCAUUAUAAAGAGAUAUAUUACAUAAAAAACAUAUACCACAAAACAACAACAAAACAUUUAUUUAUGUGU